rnacentral:tRNA from 1 species
CACUAAGAAGCUAAAUAGCACUAACCUUUUAAGUUAGAGAUUGAGAGUUGAAACCUCUUCUUAGUGA